rnacentral:rRNA from 1 species
GUGGGGAAUAUUGGACAAUGGGCGAAAGCCUGAUCCAGCCAUGCCGCGUGUGUGAAGAAGGUCUUCGGAUUGUAAAGCACUUUAAGUUGGGAGGAAGGGCAGUAAGUUAAUACCUUGCUGUUUUGACGUUACCGACAGAAUAAGCACCGGCUAACUUCGUGCCAGCAGCCGCGGUAAUACGAAGGGUGCAAGCGUUAAUCGGAAUUACUUGGCGUAAAGCGCGCGUAGGUGGUUUUGUAAGUUGGAGGUGAAAUCCCCGGGCUCAACCUGGGAACUGCCUCCAAAACUGCAUGACUAGAGUACGGUAGAGGGUAGUGGAAUUUCCUGUGUAGCGGUGAAAUGCGUAGAUAUAGGAAGGAACACCAGUGGCGAAGGCGACUACCUGGACUGAUACUGACACUGAGGUGCGAAAGCGUGGGGAGCAAACAGGAUUAGAAACCCGGGUAGUCC